rnacentral:lncRNA from 1 species
GUAUAUUUAAAAUUGAAGUAAUCAUUUAAGUAUCUUGUAUAAUACUCUUCCCCUAUAUCUUUUAUUCUACCCCCAUUCCUCUAUUAUUAAUAUUCAGUUAAUUCGAACUUGAGCCCGAAUGUUGAAUCCACUUUUUUUUAUUCUUUCUCUUUCCUCCCUUAUUCUAGAAAGGGAAAAAAAAGAAAAGAGGGGGAGAGGGAUUCAUCACCAAUAUUUGAUUGGAUCUCUAAUCUUCUUCAUUCCUUCCCAUGACAA